GGGCACAUGGUGUAGUUGGUUAUCACAUCCGCUUAGCACAAUCAGCUUGCGGGGGGUGCUGGGUUCAAUUCCCAGUGUGUCCA
rnacentral:tRNA from 1 species